rnacentral:rRNA from 1 species
GUGGGGAAUCUUGCACAAUGGGGGAAACCCUGAUGCAGCGACGCCGCGUGAGUGAUGAAGCCCUUCGGGGUGUAAAGCUCUUUCGACAGGGACGAUAAUGACGGUACCUGGAGAAGCAGCUGCGGCUAACUACGUGCCAGCAGCCGCGGUAAUACGUAGGCAGCAAGCGUUGUUCGGAGUUACUGGGCGUAAAGGGUGCGUAGGCGGCCCUAUAAGUAUGGUGUGAAAUCUCCCGGCUUAACUGGGAGGGUGCGCCGUAGACUGUGGGGCUAGAGUGUGGGAGAGGAAAGUGGAAUUCCUGGUGUAGCGGUGAAAUGCGUAGAUAUCAGGAGGAACACCGGUGGUGUAAACGGCUUUCUGGACCAUAACUGACGCUGAGGCACGAAAGCGUGGGUAGCAAACAGG